AAGUAAUUAAUUCAAUAAGGUAGAAUGUUUCAUUUACACUGAAAACGUUAAUGGUUCGAAUCCAUUAUUACUUA
rnacentral:tRNA from 1 species